rnacentral:rRNA from 1 species
GAUGAACGCUGGCGGCGUGCCUAAUACAUGCAAGUCGAGCGAACGGACGAGAAGCUUGCUUCUCUGAUGUUAGCGGCGGACGGGUGAGUAACACGUGGAUAACCUACCUAUAAGACUGGGAUAACUUCGGGAAACCGGAGCUAAUACCGGAUAAUAUUUUGAACCGCAUGGUUCAAAAGUGAAAGACGGUCUUGCUGUCACUUAUAGAUGGAUCCGCGCUGCAUUAGCUAGUUGGUAAGGUAACGGCUUACCAAGGCAACGAUGCAUAGCCGACCUGAGAGGGUGGUCGGCCACCUUGGAGCGGGGACGCGGUCCAGACUCCUACGGGAGGCAGCAGUAGGGAAUCGUCCGCAAUGGGCGAAAGCCUGACGGAGCAACGCCGCGUGAGUGAUGAAGGUCUUCGGAUCGUAAAACUCUGUUAUUAGGGAAGAACAUAUGUGUAAGUAACUGUGCACAUCUUGACGGUACCUAAUCAGAAAGCCACGGCUAACUACGCG